UACGGAGGGUGCAAGCGUUGUCCGGAUUUAUUGGGUUUAAAGGGUGCGUAGGUGGCUCAUUAAGUCAGUGUUUAAAGUCAACAGCUCAACUGUUGGGAUGGCAUUGAUACUGAUGAGCUUGAGUAAAGUUGAGGUAGACAGAAUUGAUGGUGUAGCGGUGAAAUGCAUAGAUAUCAUCAAGAAUACCGAUUGCGAAGGCAGUUUACUAAGCUUUAACUGACACUGAGGCACGAAAGUGUGGGGAUCAAACAGG
rnacentral:rRNA from 1 species